rnacentral:tRNA from 1 species
CGGGCCGUCGUAUAGUGGUAGUACACAGGAUUCGGGUUCCUGCAGUGGGAGUUCGAUUCUCCCCGGCCCGA